rnacentral:rRNA from 1 species
UACGGAGGGGGCUAGCGUUGUUCGGAAUUACUGGCGCUAGAAGCGACGUAGGCGGCUUUGUAAGUUAGAGGUGAAAGCCCGGGGCUCAACUCCGGAAUUGCCUUUAAGACUGCAUCGCUAGAAUUGUGGAGAGGUAAGUGGAAUUCCGAGUGUAGAGGUGAAAUUCGUAGAUAUUCGGAAGAACACCAGUGGCGAAGGCGACUUACUGGACACAUAUUGACGCUGAGGUGCGAAAGCGUGGGGAGCAAACAGG